UGCAGUCGAACGGAAAGGCCCUUCGGGGUACUCGAGUGGCGAACGGGUGAGUAACACGUGGGUGAUCUGCCCCGCACUCUGGGAUAAGCCUGGGAAACUGGGUCUAAUACCGGAUAGGACCACACACUUCAUGGUGAGUGGUGCAAAGCUUUUGCGGUGUGGGAUGAGCCCGCGGCCUAUCAGCUUGUUGGUGAGGUAAUGGCCCACCAAGGCGACGACGGGUAGCCGGCCUGAGAGGGUGACCGGCCACACUGGGACUGAGAUACGGCCCAGACUCCUACGGGAGGCAGCAGUGGGGAAUAUUGCACAAUGGGCGCAAGCCUGAUGCAGCGACGCCGCGUGAGGGAUGACGGCCUUCGGGUUGUAAACCUCUUUCAGUAGGGACGAAGCGAAAGUGACGGUACCUACAGAAGAAGGACCGGCCAACUACGUGCCAGCAGCCGCGGUAAUACGUAGGGUCCGAGCGUUGUCCGGAAUUACUGGGCGUAAAGAGCUCGUAGGUGGUUUGUCACGUUGUUCGUGAAAACCCACAGCUUAACUGUGGGCGUGCGGGCGAUACGGGCAGACUAGAGUACUGCAGGGGAGACUGGAAUUCCUGGUGUAGCGGUGGAAUGCGCAGAUAUCAGGAGGAACACCGGUGGCGAAGGCGGGUCUCUGGGCAGUAACUGACGCUGAGGAGCGAAAGCGUGGGUAGCGAACAGGAUUAGAUACCCUGGUAGUCCACGCCGUAAACGGUGGGUACUAGGUGUGGGUUUCCUUCCUUGGGAUCCGUGCCGUAGCUAACGCAUUAAGUACCCCGCCUGGGGAGUACGGUCGCAAGACUAAAACUCAAAGGAAUUGACGGGGGCCCGCACAAGCGGCGGAGCAUGUGGAUUAAUUCGAUGCAACGCGAAGAACCUUACCUGGGUUUGACAUGCGCAGGACGUAUCUAGAGAUAGGUAUUCCCUUGUGGCCUGCGUGCAGGUGGUGCAUGGCUGUCGUCAGCUCGU
rnacentral:rRNA from 1 species